AGCCCCGCCGACGCCGACCAGCUAACCGGACUGGGCUGCGCGCGGAGCCCCCUCUUCCCGUGCACAGUGCGGGGCGAGGCUUGGCGAGCGGUGGGUCUGCGCCUUCCCAAGGGCAAUAUGAUGGGCACCGGGCAGAACUUGGAAAAAUAACUACAAAGCCAGCCCCGAGCCGUGGCUAUUGGUAGGGACAGCCCUGCCACCCCGCAGGCAAAGGCAUCCAGCCAUCUAGUUCCCUGCCACCGCCCCCUCCACCCGCCAACUUUGAGAUGGUUCAACCUCUUGACUUUGGAAUUAAAAUGCACAGCCCCAGCCACCCCAAGGAAGCGCUUAGAGCCACAAGGCGCUUUCGUGUUGAGCAGGGAAAGAUGGGCAGGUGUGCGAGACACGCAUUUCGGUGUGCCCUGCCACAUUGCUUGCAGCGUUGGCGCGUUUGGACAGCGCCUCCGGUUUGGGGCUCUGAGGCCGGGGAGUGCGCCCUCCAGCUUCGCGGGUCUGGGGUUCCCAGGGCCAGACCAGCCGCUACACUCUGCACACCAAUGCGCCCUCCAGGCCUGCCGGUCGCGACGUCCUUCUCCGCUCUCAGCACAGGCGCCAAGCCGGGAGUCAGGGCUUCCGGGUCCAGCUGCUGACAGAAGGAGGAGCGAGCUGCACUGGGGCUUCAGCACCGAGUCCAGAGGGAGAGAGAGGCGAGCGGGGUGAGCGGCCACCGGCGAGCUGGGGUUCGCUGCACACCCAUCACCACAGACAUUUCAAAAAGAAUCAAGCCUUUUGAAGUCUGCCAGAGCUGCGGUUUGUUAAUUGACACUGUUCAACUGAGUGACAAUUGUUCCGCUCAGUGGGGGCCAUCCACUCCCUUCCUCUCUCCCCCUCCUUUUUUUUUUUUUUUUUCUUAUAAAAUAGGAAUUAACUC
rnacentral:lncRNA from 1 species